rnacentral:rRNA from 1 species
AUUAAACGCUGGCGGCAUGCCUUACACAUGCAAGUCGAACGGCAGCACGGGGGCAACCCUGGUGGCGAGUGGCGAACGGGUGAGUAAAGCAUCGGAACGUGCCCUGGAGUGGGGGAUAACGUAGCGAAAGUUACGCUAAUACCGCAUAUUCUGUGAGCAGGAAAGCAGGGGAUCGCAAGACCUUGCGCUUUGGGAGCGGCCGAUGUCGGAUUAGCUAGUUGGUGGGGUAAAGGCCUACCAAGGCGACGAUCCGUAGUGGGUCUGAGAGGAUGAUCCGCCACACUGGGACUGAGACACGGCCCAGACUCCUACGGGAGGCAGCAGUGGGGAAUUUUGGACAAUGGGCGCAAGCCUGAUCCAGCCAUGCCGCGUGAGUGAAGAAGGCCUCGG